GGACAAGAGGAGUGAGCCCUAGCUCUAAGCUUAAGUCAGCCCAAAGGCAGGCAGCACCUUCGGAGGUGGGAGGCCUGCCUGCUGGCUGUCCCCAGGAGGUGCAGAUCUGGAGCCAGUGCUGGUGACUCACUCCCACUCUGCGUUUCCCAGAAGGCAGCUCAGGCAUGCAAGUCAGGUGCAGAGACGCAAAG